GAUGAAUAACGUAGUGAAAUGCGAUACGUAAUGUGAAUUGCAGAAUUCAGUGAAUCAUCGAAUCUUUGAACGCAUAUUGCGCUCUCUGGUAUUCCGGAGAGCAUGCUUGUUUGAGUAUCAGUAAACACCUCAACUCCCUUUUCUUUUUUGAAAUUGGAGCUGGACUUGAGUGAUCCCAACGCUUUCUUCCAAGAAAGUGGCGGGUUGCUUGAAAUGCAGGUGCAGCUGAACUUUUCUCUGAGCUAUAAGCAUAUCUAUUUAGUCUGCCUAAAAAACAGAUUAUUACCUUUGCUGCAGCUAACAUAAAGGAGACUAGUUCUUGUGCUGACUGAUGCAGGAUUCACAGAGACAGCUUCGGCUGACUUUGUAAACUCGAUCUCAAAUCAAGUAAGACUACCCGCUGAACUUAAGCAUAUCAAUAAGCGGAGGA
rnacentral:misc_RNA from 1 species